CUAAGGAAGCAGAACCCAAGGAACAAGAUUUGGUUUUACGAGUGCGGUGACUUCCUGGCUGGUUAAUGUGUGCAACUUUGCAUCCUGAGAGAGAAACAACCUCAGGCGGUGUCUUAGGAACAGGGCUUUCCUAAGCUUGCUCCUGUUCUUACUGAGGAUGUGUAUGAAAAAUGGAGGCUCUUCCAAAACUGGAACUGACACCAAACAAAGGUGCAAUCCACAUGUUGUCAUCAACUCGACUCACCUCUGAUGCCAAAAAUACUAUCUUGAGUCAUUUAUAAUCAUCCCUCUAAACUGCAGGAUGAUGAGAAUUGAAAAAGAGAGACAACACCUCCCCCAAACAGUCCUCAUGCUACCCCGACGCGAGUGUAUCUUCAAAGGGAGGGGGACGGGAGGGGGUCAGCUGCCCCCACAGGACUUGGUGCUUGUUACUUCUUAGCCACUUCAGCUCAGGGCAUGCUCGGAAACCAAGUCUACCUGCUCCUACAGUUCUCUUUCCCAGGGGGACGGGAAGUGUGGAGUGUGGGUCUGGGGUCUUCGAGGAGCCCAGAUAAGUCUGGAAAUGCUUGUUGGGCAUGUUGCAGAGACAGUCACAGGGGCAAGUGCCAGAGCAGGGAUGAAAGGUCUGCGGUCUGGGACACUGAGGGCGGCUGCUCUUCCCUUCACCCCUACAAGACUCCUGCAGUCAAGUAAGUCCUGACCAAGGCUGAGGGAGGUCUCUGCCCCGGGAGCAUGGCUAGCCUGCACAUCCCGUGAGUUUGCAGGUGGGUGAGUGAUGGGAGACUGCGGGAAAUGAUGACAAAGAAAGACUUGUAAAUCCCCACAGUACACGCUCACAUAUGCUAAAAUCCACAAGAGAGGCAUAAAGGCUACGGGGAUUCUAGAAGGGACAGAUGGUCUGUCAGGUGGGAGCUCAGGAAGGGCCUUGCCGGGGGAGGGGGAGCUGGGAGCUGAGAGGAGCACUGCUGGCGGCUCAGCGUGUCUCCCUGGGCCUGUGGAUGUUACCCACGGGCAGCCAGAAGGGAAGAGGGGAGGAGGCCAAGGCUGGGGAGAGGCCACGGUUUCCAGCUGGGCUUGUCCUUCUCACAGCAGGCAGCCGUGGGCUCUGGCAGCACCUCGGACCCACCUGCAGCGUCCUGCAAACCACUCUUGGAUCUGGGUACAGGAUUCAGGAUUCAACAGCGGAGCACUUGUCUGGCUUGUGCAAAUGGCCCUGGGUUCA